AGUGAACGCUGGCGGUAGGCCUAACACAUGCAAGUCGAACGGCAGCACAGUAAGAGCUUGCUCUUACGGGUGGCGAGUGGCGGACGGGUGAGGAAUACAUCGGAAUCUACUUUUUCGUGGGUGAUAACGUAGGGAAACUUACGCUAAUACCGCAUACGACCUACGGGUGAAAGCAGGGGAUCUUCGGACCUUGCGCGAUUGAAUGAGCCGAUGUCGGAUUAGCUAGUUGGCGGGGUAAAGGCCCACCAAGGCAACGAUCCGUAGCUGGUCUGAGAGGAUGAUCGGCCACACUGGAACUGAGACACGGUCCAGACUCCUACGGGAGGCAGCAGUGGGGAAUAUUGGACAAUGGGCGCAAGCCUGAUCCAGCCAUACCGCGUGGGUGAAGAAGGCCUUCGGGUUGUAAAGCCCUUUUGUUGGGAAAGAAAAGCAGCAGGUUAAUACCCCGCUGUUCUGACGGUACCCAAAGAAUAAGCACCGGCUAACUUCGUG
rnacentral:rRNA from 1 species